rnacentral:misc_RNA from 1 species
AAGUCGUAACAAGGUUUCCGUAGGUGAACCUGCGGAAGGAUCAUUAACACAAAUUUUGAUUCAUCAAAAAAUGUAUUUUUGCUUUUCUUGUUUGCUUUCCGUAAAAAGAAGGUAGCAAGAAAGCAAAUUACUUCAACCCCCUAUUAUGACGAAAGCACAAUUGCACAUGGAUGUAACGGAAUUGGUCAAAUUCUGACUGAGACCGUUACACCUAAUACAUUUUACCCCUUUUACAACCAAAAAAGUCUGAAACAAAAUUAUUGCAUUCUAGGUUAAAAUCUAGAAUCUAAAUAACUAAGAAAACAACUCUUAGCAACGGAUAUCUAGGCUCUC